rnacentral:rRNA from 1 species
GAUGAACGCUGACAGAAUGCUUAACACAUGCAAGUCUACUUGAUCCUUCGGGUGAUGGUGGCGGACGGGUGAGUAACGCGUAAAGAACUUGCCCUGCAGUCUGGGACAACAUUUGGAAACGAAUGCUAAUACCGGAUAUUAUGUGAGUUUCGCAUGAAAUUCAUAUGAAAGCUAUAUGCGCUGCAGGAGAGCUUUGCGUCCUAUUAGCUAGUUGGUGAGGUAACGGCUCACCAAGGCGAUGAUAGGUAGCCGGCCUGAGAGGGUGAACGGGCCACAAGGGGACUGAGACACGGCCCUUACUCCUACGGGAGGCAGCAGUGGGGAAUAUUGGACAAUGGACCAAAAGUC